rnacentral:rRNA from 1 species
UGCCAGACUCCUACGGGAGGCAGCAGUGAGGAAUAUUGGUCAAUGGCCGAGAGGCUGAAUCAGCCAAGUCGCGUGAGGGAUGACGGCCCUACGGGUUGUAAACCUCUUUUGCCGGGGAGCAAAGAGCGGGACGCGUCCCGCCUCGAGAGUACCCGGAGAAAAAGCAUCGGCUAACUCCGUGCCAGCAGCCGCGGUAAUACGGAGGAUGCGAGCGUUAUCCGGAUUUAUUGGGUUUAAAGGGUGCGCAGGCGGAAGAUCAAGUCAGGGGUAAAAUUGAGGGGCUCAACCUCUUCGAGCCGUUGAAACUGGUUUUCUUGAGUGAGCGAGAAGUAUGCGGAAUGCGUGGUGUAGCGGUGAAAUGCAUAGAUAUCACGCAGAACUCCGAUUGCGAAGGCAGCAUACCGGCGCUCAACUGACGCUCAUGCACGAAAGUGUGGGUAUCGAACAGGAUUAGAUACCCUUGUAUA